ACCUCCACCGAUCGACACCAACAUUUACCCCAUCGAGAGCUCGAUUCGGAGUUUUAGCUGAUUUUUCUUGUUUUAAAUCAAGGGUUUUCUGUUUUAGAAUAUCUUUUCUUUUUCCCUCUUCAUAUUAUAUAAUUUUUUUUUAUUUUUAGCCAUUUUUCCCCGUUCAAUUCGAUGGGGAUGGUAAUUUUUUGAUGAAGUUGAAAAUUUCUGUGUGGUUGUUGUAUAUGAUGGGGAAUCUAGCCUGUGCAGAGUGCACAUGCUAGUUAUCCUGUUCCCCUAGUGGGCCCCGCCGCCAAGCUGCAGCCGUGGGAUGCUCCUACUGAUCCAUAAUGGGAAGGUGUAAGAGAAUGUUGUCAGUUGAGGACAUUGGAAGGGAAAACGCUCAACCCAUUUCCAGGUGACUGGACUACCACCUGAUGUAGUCGGUACUACUUGCAAUCAACAUCUUGAGAAAGUACUUGGAACAGAUCAUGCAAGCAUUCUGCGUGUUCCAUUCAGAAUGGAGAAGGGAAUUCUCCAGACUUAUAUGGAGGUUAAUCGUUAAUUAGAAAUCUUAGUUUUUGUCUGUUUAAUCUGAUCUUUUAUAGAUAUCAAGCUUCUACAUUUGAUAUGCAGGCCCCAAUCUGCAUUUGAAAAGAAUGUUGAGGUUAUAUUCAUGAAUGCUUCUAAUCAAACUUGCUGAAAUUACAAUACCAAUUGAAAGUA